GGCCAGGACGGAAGGCGGGAGGAACGCGGCGGUCACCCCCGACCGGCGGCGGCUUGCGGGGCUCUGCCGCAGCAUGAUCGCGUGUGGGUCUCCCAGGAGCCCUGUGAGCAGAGACGGAAAGGAGAAGGGAAGCUUCUCUGAGUCUGGCUCCAGCCGUCCUCUUUCACAUGCGCUGUCUGCUUAAACUUCCCAACGCCGCGCGGUAAGGAGGUAUCUCCGCCUCCGCUUGCACAGAGAAGCAAGCCCCGGCCGAGAUGACGGCAGAGGAGGGACUGACACAAGGUGUCAUCAACACCACAGCAUCCUCAUCUCCAGGCGCUGUCCUUGGAGCAGCUUCCGGGAGCAGGCAAGUUGGACCAGUGCCAGGCAGGAGGACAGGCACUGCCUGUGGCCCCCGAGCUGAACCCCACCUGCUGAGACAUGGCCUCCGUCACAACCUCGGCCACUGCCGGUG